rnacentral:rRNA from 1 species
ACGAACGCUGGCGGCGCGCCUAACACAUGCAAGUCGAACGAGCGAGAGAGAGCUUGCUUUCUUGAGCGAGUGGCGAACGGGUGAGUAACGCGUGAGGAACCUGCCUCAAAGAGGGGGACAACAGUUGGAAACGACUGCUAAUACCGCAUAAGCCCACGGUGCCGCAUGGCACAGAGGGAAAAGGAGCAAUCCGCUUUGAGAUGGCCUCGCGUCCGAUUAGCUAGUUGGUGAGGUAACGGCCCACCAAGGCGACGAUCGGUAGCCGGACUGAGAGGUUGAACGGUCACAUUGGGACUGAGACACGGCCCAGACUCCUACGGGAGGCAGCAGUGGGGAAUAUUGCACAAUGGGGGAAACCCUGAUGCAGCGACGCCGCGUGGAGGAAGAAGGUCUUCGGAUUGUAAACUCCUGUUGUUGGGGAAGAUAAUGACGGUACCCAACAAGGAAGUGACGGCUAACUACGUG